rnacentral:rRNA from 1 species
AUUGAACGCUGGCGGCAUGCUUUACACAUGCAAGUCGAACGGUAACAGGCCGCAAGGUGCUGACGAGUGGCGAACGGGUGAGUAAUGCAUCGGAACGUGCCCAGUCGUGGGGGAUAACGCAGCGAAAGCUGCGCUAAUACCGCAUACGAUCUAUGGAUGAAAGCGGGGGACCGUAAGGCCUCGCGCGAUUGGAGCGGCCGAUGUCAGAUUAGGUAGUUGGUGGGGUAAAGGCUCACCAAGCCAACGAUAUGUAGCUGGUCUGAGAGGACGACCAGCCACACUGGGACUGAGACACGGCGCAGACUCCUACGGGAGGCAGCAGUGGGGAAUUUUGGACAAUGGGCGCAAGCCUGAUCCAGCAAUGCCGCGUGCAGGAAGAAGGCCUUCGGGUUGUAAACUGCUUUUGUACGGAACGAAACGGUCUGGGUUAAUACCUCGGGCUAAUGACGGUACCGUAAGAAUAAGCACCGGCUAACUACGUGCCAGCCGCCGCUGUAAUAC